UAGGGAAUCUUCCGCAAUGGACGCAAGUCUGACGGAGCAACGCCGCGUGAGUGAAGAAGGAUUUCGGUUCGUAAACCUCUGUUGUUAGAGAAGAACAGCGCAUAGAGUAACUGUUAUGCGUGUGACGGUAUCUAACCAGAAAGCCACGGCUAACUACGUGCCAGCAGCCGCGGUAAUACGUAGGUGGCAAGCGUUGUCCGGAUUUAUUGGGCGUAAAGCGAGCGCAGGCGGUCAUUUAAGUCGGAUGUGAAAGCCCCCGGCUCAACCGGGGAGGGUCAAUGGAAACUGGUUGACUUGAGUGCAGAAGAGGAGAGUGGAAUUCCAUGUGUAGCGGUGAAAUGCGUAGAUAUAUGGAGGAACACCAGUGGCGAAGGCGACUCUCUGGUCUGUAACUGACGCUGAGGCUCGAAAGCGUGGGUAGCAAACAGG
rnacentral:rRNA from 1 species